rnacentral:rRNA from 1 species
GUGCUCCAGCAGGGGGGUAAAGCAACCAUUUCGGUGCGGGCUGCGAAAGCGGUACCAAAUCGAUAUGAACUCUGAAUACCCUGUGUGUAACUAGGCAGUCAGACUGUGGGGGAUAAGCUCCAUAGUCAAGAGGGAAACAGCCCAGACCGCCAGCUAAGGUCCCAAAAUUAACGCUAAGUGAUAAAGGAGGUGGGAUUGCCCAGACAACCAGGAGGUUUGCCUAGAAGCAGCCAUCCUCAAAGGAGUGCGUAAUAGCUCACUGGUCGAGCGAUCCUGCGCCGAAAAUGAACGGGGCUAAGCGUUAUACCGAAGCUGCGGAUAAAUUUAUUUAUGGUAGGGGAGCGUUCUAUGUAGGGUGAAGCGUUAGCGUAAGCGGACGUGGACAGCAUAGAAGUGAGAAUGUCGGCUUGAGUAGCGAAAACAUGGGUGAGAAUCCCAUGCCCCGAAACCCUAAGGGUUCCUCCGGCAGGCUCGUCCGCGGAGGGUUAGUCUGGACCUAAGGCGAGGCCGAAAGGCGUAGUCGAUGGAUAACAGGUCAAUAUUCCUGUACCAGAUGUGUUUUGAGAAGGGGGACGGAGAAGGCUAACCAGGCCAGAUGUUGGUUACUGGUUCAAGCGUUCGAGGCUUUGAGAGAUGGAGAAAACAUCUUGAGCUAAGGCGUGAGUACGAGCUGCUACGGCAGCGAAGUUGGUGAUGUCAUACUUCCAAGAAAAGCCCUAUACUCGUUAAGACACAACUGCCAGUACCCGAAACCGACACAGGUGGGGUGGUAGAGAAUACCGAGGGGCGCGAGAUAACUCUCUCUAAGGAACUCGGCAAAAUGGCCCCGUAACUUCGGGAGAAGGGGUGCCAGCGAGAGCUGGUCGCAGUGAAGAGGCGCAAGCGACUGUUUACCAAAAACACAGGUCUCCGCUAAGUCGCAAGACGAUGUAUGGGGGCUGACACCUGCCCAGUGCCGGAAGGUUAAGGAAGCUGGUUAGCUUUUAGUGAAGCUGGCGACUGAAGCCCCGGUGAACGGCGGCCGUAACUAUAACGGUCCUAAGGUAGCGAAAUUCCUUGUCGGGUAAGUUCCGACCCGCACGAAAGGUGUAACGAUUUGCGCGCUGUCUCGGAGAGAGGCUCGGCGAAAUAGAAUUGUCUGUGAAGAUGCGGACUACAUACACCCGGACAGAAAGACCCUAUGAAGCUUUACUGUAGUUUGAUAUUGUGCUCGGGCUCUGAAUGCGCAGAAUAGGUGGGAGACGUUGAAAUAGUGCUUGUGGGUACUAUUGAGUCAUCGGUGAGAUACCACUCUUUUAGAGCUAGGGUUCUAACGCUUACCCGUUAUCCGGGAAGCGGACAGUAUCUGAUGGGCAGUUUGACUGGGGCGGUCGCCUCCUAAAAGGUAACGGAGGCGCACAAAGGUUCCCUCAGGCUGGUUGGAAAUCAGUCGUUGAGUGCAAAAGCAGAAGGGAGCUUGACUGUGAGACCUACAAGUCGAACAGGGACGAAAGUCGGUUUUAGUGAUCCGACGGUUCUGCGUGGAAGGGCCGUCGCUCAACGGAUAAAAGUUACUCUAGGGAUAACAGGCUGAUCUCCCCCAAGAGUUCACAUCGACGGGGAGGUUUGGCACCUCGAUGUCGGCUCAUCGCAACCUGGGGCUGAAGUCGGUCCCAAGGGUUGGGCUGUUCGCCCAUUAAAGCGGUACGCGAGCUGGGUUCAGAACGUCGUGAGACAGUUCGGUCCAUAUCCGGUGUAUGCGCAGGAAUAUUGAGAGGAUUUCUCCCUAGUACGAGAGGACCGGGAGGAACGCACCUCUGGUGUGCCAGUUAUCGUGCCAACGGUAAACGCUGGGUAGCCAUGUGCGGAGUGGAUAACCGCUGAAAGCAUCUAAGUGGGAAGCCCACCUCAAGAUGAGUAUUGCCAUGGCUUAAGCCAGUAAGGUCACGGGAAGAACACCCGUUGAUAGGCUCUACGUGGAAGCUUGGUAACAAGUGCAGCGGAGGAGUACUAAUAGACCGAGGGCUUGACCAA